rnacentral:rRNA from 1 species
AUUGAACGCUGGCGGAAUGCUUUACACAUGCAAGUCGAACGGUAGAGGGGGCAACCCCUCGAGAGUGGCGAACGGGUGAGUAAUAUAUCGGAACGUGCCCAGUCGUGGGGGAUAACGUAGCGAAAGUUACGCUAAUACCGCAUACGGUCUAAGGAUGAAAGCGGGGGAUCGCAAGACCUCGCGCGAUUGGAGUGGCCGAUAUCAGAUUAGGUAGUUGGUGGGGUAAAGGCUCACCAAGCCAACGAUCUGUAGCUGGUCUGAGAGGACGACCAGCCACACUGGAACUGAGACACGGUCCAGACUCCUACGGGAGGCAGCAGUGGGGAAUUUUGGACAAUGGACGCAAGUCUGAUCCAGCCAUUCCGCGUGCAGGAUGAAGGCCCUCGGGUUGUAAACUGCUUUUGUACGGAACGAAAAGGUCUCUCUUAAUACGGGGGACUCAUGACGGUACCGUAAGAAUAAGCACCGGCUAACUACGUGCCAGCCGCCGCGGUAA